rnacentral:rRNA from 1 species
CGGGCCUCAUAUACUCUGAGACGUGAUACCGAGCCGCUUCAGGCGAAGUCAUUAAUCCUAUGCUGCCUAGAAAAGCCCAGUAGCGAGUUGACAUGGUGCCCGUACCCCAAACCAACACAGGUGGACAGGUAGAGCAUACCAAGGCGAGUGGGAUAACUAUGGUUAAGGAACUCGGCAAAUUUCCUCCGUAACUUCGGGAUAAGGAGGACCCCAGUAGCGUGACGAGACUUGCUCUCCGAGCGUGAAGGGGUGGCACAAAAUUGAGGGAAGCGACUGUUUACCAAAAACACAGCAGCGUGCUAAGCCGUAAGGCGCUGUAUACGCUGUGACUCCUGCCCGGUGCUGGAAGGUUACGGGGAUGGGUUAGUCCUUUGGGACGAAGCUCUGAACCUAAGCCCCAGUAAACGGCGGCCGUAACUAUAACGGUCCUAAGGUAGCGAAAUUCCUUGUCGGGUAAGUUCCGACCUGCACGAAUGGAGUAACGACUUCCCUACUGUCUCAACCAUAGACCCAGCGAAAUUGAAGUACGAGUAAAGAUGCUCGUUAGCUGCAGAAGGACGGAAAGACCCCGUGGACCUUUACUAUAACUUGAUGCUGUGUUUUGUCAUAUGUUGUGUAGGAUAGGUGGGAGACAAGGAAGCAUGGACGCUAGUCUGUGUGGAGUCAUCGUUGAAAUACCACCCUGCAUAUGGUGAGGCUCUAACCUAGACCCGUUAUCCGGGUUGGGGACAGCGUCAGGCGGGUAGUUUAACUGGGGCGGUUGCCUCCUAAAGAGUAACGGAGGCGCCCAAAGGUUCCCUCAGCCUGGUUGGCAAUCAGGCGUCGAGUGCAAUGGCAAAAGGGAGCUUGACUGCGAGACCUACAAGUCGAGCAGGAGCGAAAGCUGGGCAUAGUGAUCCGGCGGUUGCGUGUGGAAGCGCCGUCGCUCAACGGAUAAAAGGUACCCCGGGGAUAACAGGCUAAUCUUGCCCAAGCGUCCAUAGCGACGGCAAGGUUUGGCACCUCGAUGUCGGCUCAUCGCAUCCUGGGGCUGAAGCAGGUCCCAAGGGUUGGGCUGUUCGCCCAUUAAAGCGGUACGCGAGCUGGGUUCAGAACGUCGUGAGACAGUUCGGUCCCUAUCCUCUGUAGCCGUAGGUGAAUUGAGGAAAGCUGUCCCUAGUACGAGAGGACCGGGACGGACGCAGCUCUCGUGUGCCAGUUGUCCUGCCAAGGGCAUGGCUGGUUAGCGACCUGCGGAAAGGAUAACCGCUGAAAGCAUCUAAGCGGGAAGCCUCUUCCAAGAUGAAUUCACCCACAGGGUUAACCUGGUAAGGCCCGUGGUAGACCACCACGUUGAUAGGCCGGAAGUGUAAGCGUGGCAACACGUUCAGCUGACCGGUACUAAUCGGCCGAGGGCUUGAAUUG